GUAAAUGAUAUCCAUUAUACACAUCAGGGUGGUCCGGUUCAUUCGGUACUUUGUUCGUAUGGUGAAUUUUAGUUGUUCAUAUGUAAGCUGUUAUUCCCAUACCGAACAAAGUAUGUCUAUACCUAGUUACUUAGAGUUUUAUGUACUCCAGGCACAGGAAAAUCUCUGCAGGGCCAACAAUCAAUAAAAGGCAUAGGACAGCCAAAAAGGGGUUCCGCUACAGGUAGCUCUGACUCUGUAUUAGAGGAG